rnacentral:rRNA from 1 species
GGAAUUGACGGGGCCCGCACAAGCGGUGGAGCAUGUGGUUAAUUCGAAGCAACGCGAAGAACCUUACCAGGUCUUGACAUCCCGAUGCUAUUUCUAGAGAUAGAAAGUUACUUCGGUACAUCGGUGACAGGUGGUGCAUGGUUGUCGUCAGCUCGUGUCGUGAGAUGUUGGGUUAAGUCCCGCAACGAGCGCAACCCCUAUUGUUAGUUGCCAUCAUUCAGUUGGGCACUCUAGCGAGACUGCCGGUAAUAAACCGGAGGAAGGUGGGGAUGACGUCAAAUCAUCAUGCCCCUUAUGACCUGGGCUACACACGUGCUACAAUGGUUGGUACAACGAGUUGCGAGUCGGUGACGGCGAGCUAAUCUCUUAAAGCCAAUCUCAGUUCGGAUUGUAGGCUGCAACUCGCCUACAUGAAGUCGGAAUCGCUAGUAAUCGCGGAUCAGCACGCCGCGGUGAAUACGUUCCCGGGCCUU